GAUGAACGCUGGCGGCGUGCCUAAUACAUGCAAGUCGAGCGAAUGGAUUAAGAGCUUGCUCUUAUGAAGUUAGCGGCGGACGGGUGAGUAACACGUGGGUAACCUGCCCAUAAGACUGGGAUAACUCCGGGAAACCGGGGCUAAUACCGGAUAACAUUUUGAACCGCAUGGUUCGAAAUUGAAAGGCGGCUUCGGCUGUCACUUAUGGAUGGACCCGCGUCGCAUUAGCUAGUUGGUGAGGUAACGGCUCACCAAGACAACGAUGCGUAGCCGACCUGAGAGGGUGAUCGGCCACACUAGGACUGAGACACGGCCCAGACUCCUACGGGAGGCAGCAGUAGGGAAUCUUCCGCAAUGGACGAAAGUCUGGCGGAGCAACGCCGCGUGAGUGAUGAAGGCUUUCGGGUCGUAAAACUCUGUUGUUAGGGAAGAACAAGUGCUAGUUGAAUAAGCUGGCACCUUGACGGUACCUAACCAGAAAGCCACGGCUAACUACGUGCCAGCCGCCGCGGUAA
rnacentral:rRNA from 1 species